ACCGGCGCACGGGUGCGUAACGCGUAUGCAACCUACCUUUUACAGGGGGAUAGCCCGAAGAAAUUUGGAUUAAUACCCCAUAAUAUUAUUGUACGACAUCGUUUGAUAAUUAAAGCUGAGGCGGUAGAAGAUGGGCAUGCGUCCUAUUAGCUAGUUGGAGUGGUAACGGCACCCCAAGGCUACGAUAGGUAGGGGUCCUGAGAGGGAGAUCCCCCACACUGGUACUGAGACAGGGACCAG
rnacentral:rRNA from 1 species